GAGCGGUAGAGAGAAGCUUGCUUCUCUUGAGAGCGGCGGACGGGUGAGUAAUGCCUAGGAAUCUGCCUGGUAGUGGGGGAUAACGUUCGGAAACGGACGCUAAUACCGCAUACGUCCUACGGGAGAAAGCAGGGGACCUUCGGGCCUUGCGCUAUCAGAUGAGCCUAGGUCGGAUUAGCUAGUUGGUGGGGUAAUGGCUCACCAAGGCGACGAUCCGUAACUGGUCUGAGAGGAUGAUCAGUCACACUGGAGCUGAGACACGGUCCAGACUCCUACGGGAGGCAGCAGUGGGGAAUAUUGGACAAUGGGCGAAAGCCUGAUCCAGCCAUGCCGCGUGUGUGAAGAAGGUCUUCGGAUUGUAAAGCACUUUAAGUUGGGAGGAAGGGUUGUAGAUUAAUACUCUGCAAUUUUGACGUUACCGACAGAAUAAGCACCGGCUAACUCUGUG
rnacentral:rRNA from 1 species